CUAAUAAAUCUUUUCAUAGCAUUGUACCCUGGUCCAUUGCCUAGAACAAAAAUAACUAGGGCACAUUUCCAUUUUCCUUCUUCCUCUUCCACCUCUUCCUUCACCAGUUGACCAACUGGUUUACCAUUAAUGAGUGUAGGGGGAAUAUACUCCAGAGACAUACCAUUUGUAGCAAGGCGAUUCCUCUGAAAUAGGCUAG
rnacentral:lncRNA from 1 species